CUGGCUCGUCCCUGAGGCGGGCGCUGAGAGAGGGCGCGGAAAAAGGAAUUAAAGGCGGAAUUAAAGCCGGAGUUGAAGGAGAAAUUAAAAACUAUGAGGCAAAACCGGCCGUGAGCGCGGCGUCCGCGUUGUCCGGCUGCCCGGCACGGUCUCUGGAAUUUGGGAAUGGGAUGAAGCUGGAGCUGCCUGGCACAGCAGUGUCAGGAGAAUGUCCUGACCUGGCCUGAACCAAACACUGAACCAAACGUGCACAGAAAGAUGCAGAAACUUGUACUGGAGAUGGAGAACAAAUUUCCUCCCUUUGCAUGAUUACCCACUGUUAGAUCUGAAUCUGAAUGUUUCAUCUGAAACUGUCUAAGAUCAGAAACUACCCCAGUCCAAUGAGUGAAGACAGAAGUAUUUUAAGCUUUACCCAUUUUUGCUUUGUGAUUGUGAAGUCCUGGCUGAUCAAGCCCUUUCUUGCUUCAGAAAUACUUUCAAUGUGACUGUUUAAAGCACUCUUAGUGGGGGGAAGUGUUUUAAUAAAUUGAAAAUGCAAAUUAA